GACAGAGGCCCCAAGCGUUAGGCGGAAUCACUGGGCUUAAAGCGUGUGUAGGCGGAUCGUUAAGUGUCUUGUGAAAUCCCACGGCUCACCCAUGGAACUGCUGGGCAUACUGGCGAUCUUGGGCCAACUAGGGGCAGCCGGAACAAGCGGUGGAGCGGUGAAAUGCGUAGAUAUCGCUUGGAACGCCGAAGGUGAAAACAGGCUGCUGGGGUUGUGCCGACGCUGAGACACGAAAGCCAGGGGAGCAAACGGGG
rnacentral:rRNA from 1 species